AAAAAUGACUCUCGGCAACGGAUAUCUCGGCUCUUGCAUCGAUGAAGAACGUAGCGAAAUGCGAUACUUGGUGUGAAUUGCAGAAUCCCGUGAACCAUCGAGUCUUUGAACGCAAGUUGCGCCCAAAGCCAUUUGGUUGAGGGCACGCCUGCCUGGGUGUCGCG
rnacentral:rRNA from 1 species